CUACAUGAAUAUUUUUUAUUUUUUUUGGGGGUCCCCCCCUACAUUCGCUGCUGGGUCACCCCAUUCAUUUUCUGAGAGCCCUGGAGCACAAAAAGAGUUAGAGCACGUUUCCAAUUGGAAUUUCCGGUCCGACGUUUUGAGGUAAAUUUUUAAAUACCGAUCAGAAUUCACCUUCAUCACUUAUAAAAAACCUAACCAGAAUAUAAGCUAACACAAUAGUUUUAUCCGUGACGGAUUCUCAAAGCAUGUACAUAAGUGAUCUAGGCUCGUAGAAAUAUAGAAGGCCCCAUUAUGGAGAACACAAUAACAUGGUAUUCAGUAAAAACGUUUCCUAUUAAAAUAUAUGCAUUUUUCUUUUAUUUUAAUUUAAUUAUAAAAAUACCAUUGACACAUCAUGGAGACGCACUAGGCAGUAGGCACUAUGAACAAUGCAUCUUAUAUUUUGGAAAAAAAUCAACCUUUUAAUUUGCUGUGCAAUAUUCCAUAACAUUCAAUCUGUACUUCAGUGGAUUAGAUAUUUUGCAAAAAAAAAACAAUCAUUAAAAAGAUUUAAGGUAAAUGAGAUUCAAAGUAAAAAAGUUUUACACAGAAAAACAAUUUACAUCAGUUUUUACUUUUCUACUUUUGAACAUAAACAACAUCUCAUUUUGUUUCUUCUAGCUUGGCAGAUGAUAAGUCUAUAAUUUUCGGAUAUGAAGCCUGUUCCCCAAGUUUGUUUUGAACCCAUAUCAACUUUUUUAGUAAACUUGGCAGCAUUGGAU
rnacentral:lncRNA from 1 species